CUAUAAUUUAAAUACUACAGCUGCUCCAUUCCCAUCCUCCUCACAGCUCAUUCCUGCCUCCUGCUCGAGAGAUGUUCCGGUUUCUUCCUCCGCUGGUCCUGAUUUCGCAUAUCCAGCAGAUUUUGCCCGGGACACCGCCGCUCUUGGUUGGACGAUUUUGAAGUUCCGUUGUCUCUCCCCAUGAUAGAUGGAUGACCAACCCUCUGCUUCCCUGCUUCCCCAUGUCCAUUCAUGGUGUACUACCUCUGGUCUGCCUCAGACCCGCAAUAUAAUUUCAUGUUUCUGGUGGUUAACAUCAUUUUUUGGUCCAGCUGAAUCUUAAGUAUCAACGGAAAUAGCACUCCGCGAGGCUCCAAAAAGGUACCCUCUUACAUAUGUGUGUUCCUCUCUUUUCUUCCUUUUGUAUGUUGUAUGAAAUCUUUAGUUUAUGAAAUCUUUAGUUGCUCCUUUCUUCUAACUCAUUCAUGUCCGAUGCAUAUGAUUAGUGAUGUUUCUUCUGCCCGGUAGGUAUUCGACAAGAUGCCGCUUAGUAAAUCUACCUAAAGUUAGCUUUUCUACCAGGCAAUUUUGUGUUUCACAUGUCUCCAAUUUUCUUGAACUGAAGGUUUAUCAGUGUUUCCUGACUAGCUUCUUUAUUGUCUCUUCAUGCAACGAUGCCGCAUUUCUUAUUUAGAAAAUAGGGUUGUCCCCCGGCCUUCAUUUCAGGAACCAUGUGGUUAACAAUAUUCAUAGCAGCACAAUAUUGAUUUUGGCUAAAGAUGUUAGUAAUCUGAAUCUGUGUGCUUCUGCUUGAUUCAGGGAGAGGAGAAACUUUCUGUUAUAUACAUAAACUGGUUACAUUUAAUAUCUCUACUGCCUUUAGUAUCUCUCAAAUAUUUAAUUAUGCUCCCAAGUCUCAAAACACAUUAUUGGAAGGUAAAAUGCAUUGGGUUGUUCUUGCCUUUGUAGAAAAGAUUGUUGAAUAUACCAAUUGCAUGGAGAUUAGUACCGUCAAAAACAAAUCUGACCUGUAACUUAUAUGUAUUCUCACUUACUUUACUGUAGUAAUGAUGCAAAUUACUCUCACUUACUUAGUCAUCUAAUAGAUUUUUUUGUACCGUUUCGAUAGUAUAUAUUCAACACAAUUACUGAUUGGCAUAGUAGUUUAUUGCAGAUAGAAUUGUAUUUCACACAUUGCCCACUGUCCCGCUUUUAACCGAAAAGUGACUAUACUUUUGACCAAAAAGUUUAUUCAAAACACAUUAUAUUAUCUGCAUUAAUUUCCGCCGCAACGAAAUAGGAGCAACCCACUAAGGGUAAUUCUCUCAGCAUGCAAGCAUGCCACAUCACUUGGGCAGUUUCAGCUCCAUGCCAACAAAUUACUACAGUUUUUGUUCAUGUCUGAGCAAUCAUAUCCUGCCACAUCAUGCAGCUCAGCCAUGUCAUCUCUGAUGUCAUUAUUUUUUUCUUCUAAUAUUCCAACGCUGCAGCAUGGUGGCCGUAUCAUAUUCUCCAGGAAUCCCUCUCUUUAUUUCCUCAUUUAAAGGCAAUUCACCUGUUCAGUUCUCCCGUGGCUGUUCAUGGUCUCUGCAUGUUACAUCUUCUCUCAACAGAUAAAUGACUACUAAACGCCUAGUAAUUAAUUACCUCCUUGCGUUGCCACUUGAGCACUUCUCUCCUUGCUCUUUUAAGUUCUCUUCCUCCAACGCUAUGCCAAGCUGAAAAAUAACAUGAGCCUCUUCCUAUUUAUGUAUGGUCAGCUUGCAUUGCUUAUCCACCGUGUGAAGCGUUCAAGAAACGCAUCUCUUUCUCUGAGCUCCUCAUGCUGCCGCUCAAAUCUGCCGCCGCCGUGUCCUUCGGCUCAUGUCAGUGUCGCGUGUUGAUGUACUCCCCGACACGUCUUUCUGCUGGCCCUUGCUGCGCGAUCGGCGGCAAGGUGGAUGGGCUGUUGGCACCUCUUUUGUGAUGAUCUGCUUAGACUAUAUAAGGCACUAGAGAAAUGUGGUGAUGAAUAUCAAAGAUCUCUUUCUUGCUGUAGAGGAGUUUUUCUAUUACAACAGAUUAUUUUAAAAUUAUGGUCAGAUUCUUAUAUUUCUACCUGAGGUUUGUUGGUUCCUUCUACAAUAUAUAUUUUUAUUGCUUACUUCAUUUUGAUUGUGGUGAUCAAUAUCACAGACCUUUCUUACCGUGGAGGAGUU